GUGCCCCCCAUCUCCAAGUCUUCUGCCGCGCCCUAGUCAUGCCAAACUCGCCGGAAAUUUCCCCCUAAAUCACAUGGUCCCCUCCUCUCUCUUCCCUCUUCCACGUGACCUGACAAGUAACGGAUUUCAUACAAAUCGAAUCUUCCUCAUUCUCCCUCACGUGUCAUCUCACCUGAAAAUCAAUUUGAAGACGAGAUUAGGAUGAAUGGGAGGCGUAGGAUUGAGCCUCACUCAAUCUACUCCCUCCAUUUGUCCUUUACUUGUGACUAAAGAUGGAUUUUCAGAUUUUCUAGAAAGAGGAAGAAUUUUCAUGACUUGGAAGGGAAGUAUAAAAGCUUCUGGAGCUUAUAUAUAUUGGGGGUUCAUUUCUUUAAGUGAGGGGGAUUGGAAAAUUUUAGGAGUUCUUCAGUUUUUUUUUUCGGACAGAAAUUUCGAGAAAAAAAAUCGGAGAAAAAGGAGAAAAAGAAAAGUACCAAGGUUUUUGAUUUUUGAUUUUUGGUUUUAGUUUUCCAUAUAUAAAAGAAAAAUCAGUUUCUUCUAGUUUCAAUUCUACUUCAAAGUCAGAAAAUAUAAUAACAAAAAAAUCAGUUUCUUCUUCUGGAUUUUAGUUCGAAAUGGAGUAAAGCCGAAUGGGUGUUCGAAAUUUUUGGAUUCGCUGUUCGUAGUUCUGGUCAUGGCUCGUUGUCUCUGUUUGAAAAUCUUGUUGAAUUCCUCUAUUACGGACUCGCUCGAUUUUGCUCGAUUUAGUGCCAUAAUUGCUGAAAUUUUGUUCAUUGGAAAGCUAAUCUCAGUGACUCAUACAUGUCUGAAAAUAUACAAAGUGAUAAGGUGUUGAUGGGUGAAAGUGGGGCUUCUAAUUCAAAUGCAAUAAGUCAAACUCAAACAACAGAGUCAAAUAUAACCAAAAAAGGAGAAAAAGGGGAGAUGAGGGUGAUUAUUGUGUAAAGAGUUAAUGUUGGAGUUGCCACCCCUAAAAGGAGAAGAAGUAGAGAUGGAAGUUGGAACCGGACAAUGUGGGACGCAGGAACAGUUGCAGAAAACAAAUGUGUACAAUUUUAAAAUGGACAGUGUUCUUUUAAUACUCUGCUUUGGGAUGUACUGGACAAAUGUACAAUUGUACACAUUUGCGUAACAAAAGUAUUCUUGAAAAUAAGUGUGUACAAUUUUAAUACUCUGCUUUGGGACAGUGUUCAUUUUAAUAAACUGUAGCGUACAAUUUAGUAAUU